CGUCCCAAAUUACGUGACACCUUUUGAAUUCCGAGAAUCAACCAAUUUUUUCUUUGACCGAAAUUUCUUUAUAUAAAGUUUUUAAUUAUUAUGAUUUAUAAUACUUUUUAUACGUAAUCUCUAAAUAUAUAAAAAAAAAAAAUUCAAAAAACUUAAAGCUGUUAUAAAGAGUACUUAACUAGAAAUCACAAGGAUCGUAUUCAUAAUUUAUCAAUAAUUGAGGGACUAAAAGUGCUAUAAUGGAAAAAAAAAUUACCGUCGCUAGCCGGAGCAGGUACCGGAGCAAAACCAUCUUGUCCCUUAACACCCGGCAAAAACACCGACAAAACCACACAAAACACAAAAACGAAACCGAACAGUAAUUUUCCAGAUCCCAUGGCCA